GAUGAACGCUAGCUACAGGCUUAACACAUGCAAGUCGAGGGGCAGCAUUGGAGUAGCAAUACUUCAGAUGGCGACCGGCGCACGGGUGAGUAACACGUAUCCAACCUGCCGCUUACUCGGGGAUAGCCUUUCGAAAGAAAGAUUAAUACCCGAUGGUAUAAAGAGUUCGCAUGUUCUCUUUAUUAAAGAAUUUCGGUAAGCGAUGGGGAUGCGCUCCAUUAGAUUGUUGGCGGGGUAACGGCCCACCAAGUCUACGAUGGAUAGGGGUUCUGAGAGGAAGGUCCCCCACAUUGGAACUGAGACACGGUCCAAACUCCUACGGGAGGCAGCAGUGAGGAAUAUUGGUCAAUGGACGAGAGUCUGAACCAGCCAAGUAGCGUGAAGGAUGACUGCCCUAUGGGUUGUAAACUUCUUUUAUAAGGGAAUAAAGUGAGGGACGUGUCCCUUUUUGUAUGUACCUUAUGAAUAAGGAUCGGCUAACUCCGUGCCAGCAGCCGCGGUAAUACGGAGGAUCCGAGCGUUAUCCGGAUUUAUUGGGUUUAAAGGGAGCGUAGGUUGACGUAUAAGUCAGCUGUGAAAGUUUACGGCUCAACCGUGAAAUUGCAGUUGAUACUGUAUGUCUUGAGUGUACAAGAGGUGGGCGGAAUUCGUGGUGUAGCGGUGAAAUGCUUAGAUAUCACGAAGAACUCCAAUUGCGAAGGCAGCUCACUGGGGUACAACUGACACUGAGGCUCGAAAGUGUGGGUAUCAAACAGGAUUAGAUACCCUGGUAGUCCACACAGUAAACGAUGAAUACUCGCUGUUUGCGAUAUACAGUAAGCGGCCAAGCGAAAGCAUUAAGUAUUCCACCUGGGGAGUACGCCGGCAACGGUGAAACUCAA
rnacentral:rRNA from 1 species